UUCAAAACCCAUUCCCUUUCUCUUCAUGAUGCGAGGCGGAAGCCCAUGAACACAGUACGUUUUCUGUUGUACUUGAGGUAAUGGUUGAGAAAGAAUUAUGGAAGUUCUGGCGAAGCAGAGGAUAGAACGAAAAGAGUCCCUUGUCCGCAACCACAGGAGGAGCGUAUGGACUCCUUGUAAUACAUCAUUAAAGAAAAGGAGGGAAAGAUGGGAUGACUUCGUAGGGCGGCUGUUCGAUGUAUUUUACACUAAGAGGAGCGAGAAGUUCGGCUAAACCACACAAUGAGCCACCUAAUUUAGUAUCGAAUUCGCCAUCUACGAGAUUCAAAUCUAAAACCUUUCACUUACAACUAAAAAGAAAUAGUGUCGGACCAUAAUACUAAGUUGACCCUUUUGGGAAUUUUUUGAUUCUUAUCAAGCAUUCUGCAUUGGGAAGUUCAAUUGUAUAAAAUCCUCAAUGAUUAUUUGAAUAAGAUCAG
rnacentral:sRNA from 1 species